UUGGAGGGCAAGUCUGGUGCCAGCAGCCGCGGUAGUUCCAGCUCCAAUAGCGUAUAUUAAAGUUGUUGCAGUUAAAAAGCUCGUAGUUGAAUUUCGGAAUCUGUCCGUCGGUCGGGCUUCACUGUCCGUACUGGUGUGAUGGGUUUCUACCUUCUGAAUAAUCGGCAUGUCAUUAAUUUGGUGCGCCGGGGAAGCAGAACUAUUACCUUGAAAAAAUUAGAGUGCUUAAAGCAGGCUAUCGCCUGAAUAGAUUAGCAUGGAAUAAUAAAAUAGGACGGCAUGGUUCUAUUUUGUUGGUUUCUAGGAUCACCGUAAUGAUUAAUAGGGAUAGUUGGGGGCAUUAGUAUUCAAUUGUCAGAGGUGAAAUUCUUGGAUUUAUUGAAGACUAACUUCUGCGAAAGCAUUUGCCAAGGAUGUUUUCAUUAAUCAAGAACGAAAGUUAGGGGAUCGAAGACGAUCAGAUACCGUCGUAGUCUUAACCAUAAACUAUGCCGACUAGGGAUCGGACGAUGUUAAUUUUUUAAUGACUCGUUCGGCGCCUUACGGGAAAC
rnacentral:rRNA from 1 species